AACUGCUGACACAAAUAGUGAUACCUUUUAAAAUAAGCCAAUGUUGUAGUUUAAAAAUCAGGUCAGUCAAGUCAGUUCACCGGGAAAAAAUUUGCUAUGCAUUAACCAGAUCGUUCCAAUUGCCAAACUCGUACAAGAUACAAUAAUUGGUCAACAUACAGCCUAAUGAUGAAGAUAAAUACAGCCUAGAUGGACUGAUGAGCACAAUGUUUUGCAGCAAGGUUAGUAACCCUUACACAAGUUGUCAUAAGGCUGAGAUGCCAAUUUGUCGAUUAAACUGUGACAUGAAUAUAAUUAUAGAUGAAAAAAUGGAACCAGAUUUCAAAUAAUCAAAUUCUAACCCCUUCUAAUAAAUAGCACUUAGAGCUGUAACUAGUUCUCCCCCGCGACGGGAAUCAUCUGUUCUUGGCUGAUUUUGAAUGUGGUAGCGUUCCAAACACCUUGUCCCAGAAAGAGGAGGUAAUGCCAAAACCUUUGUUCUGGAUACGAAAAUGAUGAUUCAAGUGAUAUUUCUGUGAAAGGGGCAAAAAAAAUCACCAGUUAGGUUCAUUGAACAGGUUUAGAACACCUUUUCGAGAUUCACAAAUUGAGAUGAAGCUCUCACUUCGAAUCAACCCCCACCCCCAAACCAAAAAAAAAAAAAAAAAAAAACCCACACCUGAGCCCUUCCGUAGAGUACUAAAGAAGGGAUUGGACCACAUACUAAAACCUGAAAUUAAGAUCUCAAUUCUCAAGCACCACAAAUGAGUAUUAAAUAAUUUGCUAUGCUAUUAUAAAAUCUCUGGUUAGUAGUUGGAUAAAAUAGAUUAAAAACCAGCAGGGAUGUAAAAGCAACUCCCCAAAACUGACAAGUCUUACACCUAAAAGGAGACAUCUAGGAAAACUAAAUAAACAAACAGCCACAUGGAAGUCGUAGAGAGGUAUCCACAAACAUAUCCUCUUACCUUAAGACUUUUAGGCACUUCAUUUGUCGGUUGUCCGUGAUGCAAGUAGUAGUGGGUUACAUCAUACAUAACGUAGCCCAAUAGACCGCCUCCAAACAAAGCAGGAGCAGUAGAGGGAGUCGCCAGGAAUUUGAUCAAGUUCCAGAACUGCAAUUACAAAGCACUGUAUCACAAGCUGUGGGAAAGGUAGAUAGUCAUAGCUCUUCAGCAUAUUAACACAAUUCAGCAUUUAGUAUACUUGUGAUCAUUAUCACUUACAAGAAGCAAAUUAUACCGUAGUAGUUUUCAACUUGCUACAUUUAUAUAUAAACUACCAACUUUGACUAGCUGUUGAAGUAGGCUGGCAUUAUAUUCCCUAAGUCACGUUGGCCUUGUUGAAUUUUUUUCAAAAUCAAACUAGAUUUUGUCCAAUGGUUUUCCGUGCGGAUUCAUGUAAUAUUUGAUGUAUAAGCUCUAAAAUUCUAGUUACUUCGAACAUUUUUUUCACUUAAAAGCAGAUUAAGAUGCCUUUGCCAAGGCGUGGUUUGACCUCUGAAAACAGAAUGAAGCAACAAUCAAUGAAUGGAGGCAGUAUUAUCUUUUCAUUUCGCUAAUGGCGCUUUUAAGCAUUAGAAAUUGGGAUCUUUACAUUUGUGUGAAAAUAUUUAAGGAAAAAAACAGGGUUCUCAGUUAAUAUAAAAUGAGGCUGUGAUAUGAAAAUCCAACAUACAGGUAUGCAAAGAACAGCCGUUGCAGCAGGUGGAAAAACAAGCCUUAGACCAUCCAUGGGAUGCUUAUGAUGACAGCCAUGAAGAAGAUAAUGAGCUGUGUUUCCCCUGUAAC
rnacentral:lncRNA from 1 species